GUUAGUGUGGCAGAGCCCGGUAAUUGUAUAAAACUUAAGUUUUUAUAACCAGAGGUUCAAAUCCUCUCUCUAACA
rnacentral:tRNA from 1 species